CGACAGGAAGGCGCCGUACAGGCCGAAGGCCAGGAGGCCGUGGCGAUCGGAGGCCAGAGGCACCCCGGCCGCGUAGGCCCAGCUCUAGACACAGUGGAGUGUGGCAGGAUUCCCUCUUCCGUCUUAGUGACACAUGAAGUCAAGAUCGUCUCACAACGCAAGGGACUGGAAGGGUGAGGAAACUGAGGCCCAGCGAGGUGAACUCUCUUGCCCAGGGCCGCUCAGGUGAGUACCUAGAGGAGUACCUGAGGCUUCAGACUCAGACAGCGAGGCUCCAGCGCUGCCCUCUCCCUGCCUCCGACCCCCUGACGCAGCUUCCCGGCUGAGUUAAAUGAGUCUUCCGGACCCACAGGUGA